ACAAUUUGUAGGUGCUGGAACUAGAGGUUCUGGGGGUGCUGUCGCACCCCCGGCUCAAAGUGGUUUCCAUUACCUACAGGGUUUACAGUUUGGUUCAAUGGCUCUCAGCACCCUCACUAUACAAAUUGUUCCAGGGCAAGCAGCUCUGGGAAAA